UUAUCUAGCUUCCUCAGUCUGAGAUGUGUAUUUUUGCCAUGUUUAGUAUUUUACUCCUACGUUCACAGAUCUUUUUGGAAAUGGAUUGUCCACUGCUGCCCAACUCCUGACCGUAUGCUGCUCCAUUAUCAGGUUAUUUUUUCCACAAUAUCUUUGACUGUCAAGAAUUUUUGCCAAUAAUACCAGUGAUCAUUGCCAAAGUCGUGUUGCUUGUGGAGAGGGUGAUGUUUGACUUCCUUGUACAGCUGCAGUUUGAAUAGUGAAGGCGCUCCCACAACGUGGUUGGAUCCUGCAAGUUUCCCCAAUGAGCAUAGUCCAUC